UUCAUCAUUUGUUCUUCUGUCCCACACUCUUCUCUUAUCUCUCUCAUUUCUCUCUCUCACACACACAACCACAUUUUCUCUCUCCCUCACCCUAAACCACGAAUUUUGGCAGCAAACUUCAUCCAUUUCUACUCAAAAACAUCAACAUUUGAAGUUGUUAUUGAGGAUUCGGUAGUGGUACAAGUGGAACUUAGAUCAAGGCAUCAUUUGCAUCAUCUCAAUGCAUUGUCCACAUUAGACAGGUACCCCGUGAUUUUUUGGAAAUCGGAGCGUAUAGAAGACCCGUCUUAGCUUUUGUUCAUAUGAUACUUAUAUGUAUAACACUUUUAACACUUUACUUUCAAACAAAUGUAAAUUUCCUAUGUAAUGUAAUGUUUUUUGUUUACUACGCUUACUAUGUACAUUGGUUGCAAUAUACAUGACGUCCUCUGCCCCGGAACGUUUCUGCCAUCGGUUUUGGGGUGUGACAGUUUGCGAUACACAUAGUAGUCAAUAGGGCACGAUUCGGUCAUUAAGCUUGGGUUGUGAACUCAUGAAUGGAAACUUG